rnacentral:sRNA from 1 species
UGCUAUCCAGCCCACGCGCAACCUGCCC